GAUAGCCAUAAAUCACAGCAGGGUUAAGCGUUGGAUUGGUGACCAAACGCACGGUUUGCGUUGCAGCAUCAUACAGUCCGCCCCAGUACAUUGCCUUGGCAGCCAGCAGCAGCGCCCCUGCACCCAAAAACAGGAGAUGAUGCCCCAGAAUGAGGCCAAGCUGCUUUGGAUCAUCCCA
rnacentral:antisense_RNA from 1 species